GGGGAAUAUUGGACAAUGGGGGCAACCCUGAUCCAGCCAUGCCGCGUGUGUGAAGAAGGCCCUCGGGUUGUAAAGCACUUUAAGCGGGGAGGAAGGCCUGAUGGCUAAUAUCCAUCGGGAUUGACGUUACCCGCAGAAUAAGCACCGGCAAACUUCGUGCCAGCAGCCGCGGUAAUACGAAGGGUGCAAGCGUUAAUCGGAAUUACUGGGCGUAAAGCGCGCGUAGGUGGUUAAGUCAGCGAUCUGUGAAAGCCCCGGGCUUAACCUGGAACUGCAGGUCGAACUGCUUGGCUAGAGUAUGGUAGAGGGGUGUGGAAUUUCCUGUGUAGCGGUGAAAUGCGUAGAUAUAGGAAGGAACAUCAGUGGCGAAGGCGACACCCUGGACCGAUACUGACACUGAGGCGCGAAGGCGUGGGUAGCGAAC
rnacentral:rRNA from 1 species